rnacentral:rRNA from 1 species
AUUGAACGCUGGCGGCAGGCCUAACACAUGCACGUCGAACGAGUGGCGGACGGGUGAGUACUGUCUGGGAAACUGCCUGAUGGAGGGGGCUAACUACUGGAAACGGUAGCUAAUACCGCAUACCAUCGGAUGUGCCCAGAUGGGAUUAGCUUGUUGGUGGGGUAACGGCUCACCAAGGCGCCGAUCCCUAGCUGGUAUGAGAGGAUGACCAGCCACACUGUAACUGAGAGACGUUCCAGAGUCCUACGGGAGGCAGCAGUGGGGAAUAGUGCACAAUGGGCGCAAGCCUGAUGCAGCCAUGCCGCGUGUAUGAAGAAGGCCUUCGGGUUGUAAAGUACUUUCAGCGGGGAGGCGUUACCCGCAGAAGAAGCACCGGCUAACUCCGUGCCAGCAGCCGCGGUAAUUC